GGCUGAGGUAUAUAGUCUGUUAAUUCAGAUUGAUAAUUAAUCUUCGAGUCUCUCUUCCCUCUUGGCACCUCACUGUAAAAAAACCGAACCAGAACACCCACUCCCUCUCAUUCCUAAAGCAGCAAGCACACCUAAACUGAACUGCACCCGCUCCACACCUUCGACCAAAUCAACCAUGGUACAGAUUGCCUGACAGUUCAUUGUGUUUCAUCAUUUCCACCAGGUCCGUGGCGUUCCUAGGAAGGGGGGAUUACCCUUCCAUUGUUAUUCCCUUCCCCUUCCAGCCGUGCGUUCAUCAGCAAAGAAAUGGAGAGUUCAUCGUUGUUACUGCCUUUUCUUCCAUAGUAGGUUCUGACCAAGUUCUUCUUGGUGUGCGCAUGUCUUGGUUCGAUUUGAUGAGGACUUCCCCUGCAUGCAUAACCGAGUUUAAGUUCACAUCCACUCAUCCUUCUUCUUGUCCAGCCGAAACAACCCGCAGCAAGGAGAAUCUAUCUUAAGGAGGUGCAUGGAACUCAAUUUUUGGAGCUCUUGGAGGGGAGAGGUUGCUGUCUCCUAAUCGAUUUGGCUAGUGUGUGUACCGCUAAGAGGUGCGCAUAAACCUCUAAGAAUGUGGACUAUUCUGGUGUGGUUUGAAUUGUAUUUGGGCACGCAAGGUAUGUGUUUGGUGGUGAGACCUACUGUGACUAUUAGCUAGAGUAUGGAAUUUUGAACUGAUGCUCACAUGUCCCUUAUGAUUCGUAUUCUGUUAUAUGAUAUAUGAAAUCUAUCUUUGGACUUGUCUUGAUGGAAAAUUCUGCCUAUGGAAGUGUUUGUUAUUCGGCAGCUUGGUAUUAAAUAUACAAGAGAUAUAUGCUAUAUGAUUUAGUCAUGCAUUUGCACAUCAUGUUUCACCUGUGUCUGUUUGUGUGUGUGUCAAGCAUGUCAUAGCAUACAGAAUUAUGCAUUCAUCAGGUAAUGUCGGGGUUGAGACCCCAGGCGGCAGGAGGCCGGAGCUGAGUUAGAUAUUACUGGUUUUAUUUGCUGACUUGUUGGAUGCUGGAUAUGCUUGCUGCUAUUAUGCUUUUAGCUUCAUUUAUGUUAUGGAUUAUCUUGUUGAGACACUGUUGGUUAUGUUGUUGAUUUGGUGAGCAUGGGGAUUGUCCAUGCCAUAUAGACUUGUUUAUUAUCUUGUUUUAUUUGGAGUAGUAUUAAUGUAUCAGGAUAUUGUCCGGACUACGUGUAGUAGAUCUGUGACAUAGAUACUCACUUUAUCUAUUUUUUGAGGUAUUUCAGUUAGAUGUUGAUGCUAUCCGGCAA